AAGGAGAGCCUGUGCAAGAGCAUCGAGGUCGGCACAUCGGCGAACUUGCUAGCGUUGGCCGAACAGCUCGGCUGCCGUGGGCUCAAGGACGCAUGCUUUGAUUUCCUGGGCCGCUUACCGGCGAACCUGAACGUUGUCGUGACCAGCGACGACUUCGAGCAUCUGAGCACGACCUGCCCCUCCAUGGUGAAGGAGCUGAUCGCCAUCGGCUCGGCACCUCGACUGGUUCAGUGA
rnacentral:rRNA from 1 species